rnacentral:rRNA from 1 species
CCCUACGGGGUGCACCUGAUCUGCAGACAUACCCUUAGGCUUGAUCCUGCCCACCUCGCGUCCAUGGACUCCAUGAUGGCCCUCAGUCUUGUCGACGGUGGUUACGGCAUAUUCGGGAUCGCUCUCACUGUCUCCAUCGCCCAGAUAGAGAUGAUUACUGUAAUAAAAACCAUAGCAAAUGGGCCAAUGGUGAUUGGUCAUGGCCUCAACCAGAUCGUCCUCGCUUUCAAGCUCUUUAAACGAGAACACGCGGUCAGGAUGCUUCAUCAUCUUCACCUUUAUCCAUAAAAUACUAAUUGCAGACCAGAAUUAAAUAGUUUUUCAGCUAAUCAUCUGACAAAAUCUAUAAGCUGGCCGAUCCAUUCUCCUGAAUGAAUUGGCGGGAGGGC